rnacentral:tRNA from 1 species
CCCCUGGUGGUCCAGUGGUGCGGACUCUGCACUUCCAUUGCAGAGGGCUUGGGUUUGAUUCCUGAUUGGGUAA